rnacentral:rRNA from 2 species
CACUAUCGUUAACUGAAUACAUAGGUUAACGAGGCGAACCGGGGGAACUGAAACAUCUAAGUACCCCGAGGAAAAGAAAUCAACCGAGAUUCCCCCAGUAGCGGCGAGCGAACGGGGAGCAGCCCAGAGUCUGAAUCAGCUUGUGUGUUAGUGGAACGGUCUGGAAAGUCCGACGGUACAGGGUGAUAGUCCCGUACACCAAAAUGCACAGGUUGUGAACUCGAAGAGUAGGGCGGGACACGUGGUAUCCUGUCUGAAUAUGGGGGGACCAUCCUCCAAGGCUAAAUACUCCUGACUGACCGAUAGUGAACCAGUACCGUGAGGGAAAGGCGAAAAGAACCCCGGCGAGGGGAGUGAAAAAGAACCUGAAACCGUGUACGUACAAGCAGUGGGAGCACCUUCGGGUGUGACUGCGUACCUUUUGUAUAAUGGGUCAGCGACUUAUAUUCUGUAGCAAGGUUAACCGUAUAGGGGAGCCGCAGGGAAACCGAGUCUUAACUGGGCGUUAAGUUGCAGGGUAUAGACCCGAAACCCGGUGAUCUAGCCAUGGGCAGGUUGAAGGUUGGGUAACACUAACUGGAGGACCGAACCGACUAAUGUUGAAAAAUUAGCGGAUGACUUGUGGCUGGGGGUGAAAGGCCAAUCAAACCGGGAGAUAGCUGGUUCUCCCCGAAAGCUAUUUAGGUAGCGCCUCGUGAACUCAUCUUCGGGGGUAGAGCACUGUUUCGGCUAGGGGGUCAUCCCGACUUACCAACCCGAUGCAAACUACGAAUACCGAAGAAUGUUAUCACGGGAGACACACGGCGGGUGCUAACGUCCGUCGUGAAGAGGGAAACAACCCAGACCGCCAGCUAAGGUCCCAAAGUCAUGGUUAAGUGGGAAACGAUGUGGGAAGGCACAGACAGCCAGGAUGUUGGCUUAGAAGCAGCCAUCAUUUAAAGAAAGCGUAAUAGCUCACUGGUCGAGUCGGCCUGCGCGGAAGAUGUAACGGGGCUAAACCAUGCACCGAAGCUGCGGCAGCGACACUAUGUGUUGUUGGGUAGGGGAGCGUUCUGUAAGCCUGCGAAGGUGNUGCUGGAGGUAUCAGAAGUGCGAAUGCUGACAUAAGUAACGAUAAAGCGGGUGAAAAGCCCGCUCGCCGGAAGACCAAGGGUUCCUGUCCAACGUUAAUCGGGGCAGGGUGAGUCGACCCCUAAGGCGAGGCCGAAAGGCGUAGUCGAUGGGAAACAGGUUAAUAUUCCUGUACUUGGUGUUACUGCGAAGGGGGGACGGAGAAGGCUAUGUUAGCCGGGCGACGGUUGUCCCGGUUUAAGCAUGUAGGCUGGUUGUCCAGGCAAAUCCGGAUAAUCAAGGCUGAGGUGUGAUGACGAGGCACUACGGUGCUGAAGUAACAAAUGCCCUGCUUCCAGGAAAAGCCUCUAAGCAUCAGGUAACAUCAAAUCGUACCCCAAACCGACACAGGUGGUCAGGUAGAGAAUACCAAGGCGCUUGAGAGAACUCGGGUGAAGGAACUAGGCAAAAUGGUGCCGUAACUUCGGGAGAAGGCACGCUGGUGUGUAGGUGAAGUCCCUGCGGAUGGAGCUGAGACCAGUCGAAGAUACCAGCUGGCUGCAACUGUUUAUUAAAAACACAGCACUGUGCAAACACGAAAGUGGACGUAUACGGUGUGACGCCUGCCCGGUGCCGGAAGGUUAAUUGAUGGGGUUAUCCGUAAGGAGAAGCUCUUGAUCGAAGCCCCGGUAAACGGCGGCCGUAACUAUAACGGUCCUAAGGUAGCGAAAUUCCUUGUCGGGUAAGUUCCGACCUGCACGAAUGGCGUAAUGAUGGCCAGGCUGUCUCCACCCGAGACUCAGUGAAAUUGAACUCGCUGUGAAGAUGCAGUGUACCCGCGGCAAGACGGAAAGACCCCGUGAACCUUUACUAUAGCUUGACACUGAACAUUGAGCCUUGAUGUGUAGGAUAGGUGGGAGGCUUUGAAGCGUGGACGCCAGUCUGCGUGGAGCCAACCUUGAAAUACCACCCUUUAAUGUUUGAUGUUCUAACGUUGGCCCCUUACCGGGGUUGCGGACAGUGUCUGGUGGGUAGUUUGACUGGGGCGGUCUCCUCCCAAAGCGUAACGGAGGAGCACGAAGGUUAGCUAAUCCUGGUCGGACAUCAGGAGGUUAGUGCAAUGGCAUAAGCUAGCUUGACUGCGAGCGUGACGGCGCGAGCAGGUGCGAAAGCAGGUCAUAGUGAUCCGGUGGUUCUGAAUGGAAGGGCCAUCGCUCAACGGAUAAAAGGUACUCCGGGGAUAACAGGCUGAUACCGCCCAAGAGUUCAUAUCGACGGCGGUGUUUGGCACCUCGAUGUCGGCUCAUCACAUCCUGGGGCUGAAGUAGGUCCCAAGGGUAUGGCUGUUCGCCAUUUAAAGUGGUACGCGAGCUGGGUUUAGAACGUCGUGAGACAGUUCGGUCCCUAUCUGCCGUGGGCGCUGGAGAAUUGAGGGGGGCUGCUCCUAGUACGAGAGGACCGGAGUGGACGCAUCACUGGUGUUCGGGUUGUCAUGCCAAUGGCACUGCCCGGUAGCUAAAUGCGGAAGAGAUAAGUGCUGAAAGCAUCUAAGCACGAAACUUGCCCCGAGAUGAGUUCUCCCUGAGACUUUAAGUCUCCUGAAGGAACGUUAAAGACGAUGACGUUGAUAGGCCGGGUGUGUAAGCGCAGCGAUGCGUUGAGCUAACCGGUACUAAUGAACCGUGAGGCUUAACCUU